GAGUUUGAUCAUGGCUCAGAUUGAACGCUGGCGGCAGGCCUAACACAUGCAAGUCGAGCGGAUGACGGGAGCUUGCUCCUUGAUUCAGCGGCGGACGGGUGAGUAAUGCCUAGGAAUCUGCCUGGUAGUGGGGGACAACGUUUCGAAAGGAACGCUAAUACCGCAUACGUCCUACGGGAGAAAGCAGGGGACCUUCGGGCCUUGCGCUAUCAGAUGAGCCUAGGUCGGAUUAGCUAGUUGGUGGGGUAAUGGCUCACCAAGGCGACGAUCCGUAACUGGUCUGAGAGGAUGAUCAGUCACACUGGAACUGAGACACGGUCCAGACUCCUACGGGAGGCAGCAGUGGGGAAUAUUGGACAAUGGGCGAAAGCCUGAUCCAGCCAUGCCGCGUGUGUGAAGAAGGUCUUCGGAUUGUAAAGCACUUUAAGUUGGGAGGAAGGGCAGUAAGUUAAUACCUUGCUGUUUGACGUUACCGACAGAAUAAGC
rnacentral:rRNA from 1 species